rnacentral:rRNA from 1 species
AUGUCUUUAGCAUGCUCUCUUGUCUGCGACCUCUUCCUGGGCUUCGCAACCAGCUUUGAGCAGGUCUACGCACUGGCCCCUCCGGCCAGGUCUACCUCGACAAGUGCUACAUUACCUACAGCUACUACCCCCAUGACGGCGGCCUCGGAGCUGCAGCUCACCCACGAAGGUCUCUCCCUCCUCUCUUGUGCAAGAUGCUCCCAUUGGUUUUGUUUAGACAAGAAGAACGAGAACAAGGAGGUGGCUGUCAAUGACUUCCUACCUUCAGAAGAUGCCUACAAGGCCAUCCAACACUCCAUGGAUCAGGGGUGA